UACGUAGGUGACCAGCGUUGUCCGGAUUUACUGGGCGUAAAGAGCGCGCAGGCGGUCGUUCAAGUCGAGUGUGAAAGCCCCCGGCUCAACUGGGGAGGGUCACUCGAUACUGAUCGACUUGAAGGCAGGAGAGGGAAGCGGAAUUCCCGGUGUAGUGGUGAAAUGCGUAGAUAUCGGGAGGAACACCAGUGGCGAAGGCGGCGUCCUGGACCAACACUGACACUGAUGAGCGAAAGCCAGGGGAGCAAACGGG
rnacentral:rRNA from 1 species